rnacentral:rRNA from 1 species
UACGGAGGGUGCGAGCGUUGUCCGGAAUCAUUGGGCGUAAAGCGCGCGUAGGCGGCCCGGUAAGUCCGCUGUGAAAGUCCAGGGCUCAACCCUGGAAAGCCGGUGGAUACUGCCGGGCUAGAGUCCGGAAGAGGCGAGUGGAAUUCCUGGUGUAGCGGUGGAAUGCGCAGAUAUCAGGAGGAACACCAAUAGCGAAGGCAGCUCGCUGGGACGGUACUGACGCUGAGGUGCGAAAGCGUGUGGAGCAAACAGG